ACGACUGCUGCUAAGACUGGAUAGGAAGAUAAAAGGCAUCUUGUAUCUUUUAAAAGACCUAGUUAAUAGGUAUGCUUUAGGAGGGGCUUGCGCCAUAUUAGUUAGUUGGUAGGGUAAUGGCCUACCAAGACGAUGAUGUGUAGCUGGACUGAGAGGUUGAACAGCCACAUUGGGACUGAGACACGGCCCAAACUCCUACGGGAGGCAGCAGUAGGGAAUUUUCGGCAAUGGAGGAAACUCUGACCGAGCAACGCCGCGUGAAUGACGAAGUACUUCGGUAUGUAUAGUUCUUUUAUCGAGGAAGAAAAGCAAAUGGCGAACCAUUUGUUUGCCGGUACUUGAUGUAUAAGCCCCGGCUAAUUAUGUGCCAGCAGCCGCGGUAAGACAUAAGGGGCAAGUGUUAUCCGGAAUUAUUGGGCGUAAAGGGUGCGUAGGCGGUCUAGUAAGUCAGUGGUGUAAUGUCAACGCUUAACGUUGUCCGGCUAUUGAAACUGCUAAACUUGAGUUAGAUAGAGGCGAGUGGAAUUCCAUGUGUAGCGGUAAAAUGCGUAAAUAUAUGGGGGAACACCAGAGGCGUAGGCGGCUCGCUGGGUCUUAACUGACGCUGAGGCACGAAAGCGUGGGGAGCAAACAGGAUUAGAUACCCUGGUAGUCCACGCCGUAAACGAUGAGUACUAAGUGUCGGGUUAAACCGGUACUGAAGUUAACACAUUAAGUACUCCGCCUGAGUAGUACGUACGCAAGUAUGAAACUUAAAGGAAUUGACGGGACUCCGCACAAGCGGUGGAUCAUGUUGUUUAAUUCGAAGAUACCCGAAAAACCUUACCAGGUCUUGACAUGUUUUUGCAAAAUGAUAGUAAUAUCGUGGAGGUUACCAGAAACACAGGUGGUGCAUGGUUGUCGUCAGCUCGUGUCGUGAGAUGUUAGGUUAAGUCCUAAAACGAGCGAAACCCUUAUCGUUAGUUGCCAGCACGUUAUGGUGGGGACUUUAACGAGACUGCCAAUGAUAAAUUGGAGGAAGGUGAGGAUCACGUCAAGUCAGCAUGCCCCUUAUGACCUGGGCUACAAACGUGAUACAAUGGCUGUUACAAAGGGUAGCUGAAACGCAAGUUCUUGGCCAAUCCCCAAAAACAGUCCCAGUCCGGAUUGAAGUCUGCAACUCGACUUCAUGAAGUUGGAAUCGCUAGUAAUCGCGAAUCAGCAUGUCGCGGUGAAUACGUUCUCGGGGUUUGUACACACCGCCCGUCA
rnacentral:rRNA from 1 species